rnacentral:rRNA from 1 species
UACGUAGAGUGCAAGCGUUAUCCGGAUUUAUUGGGCGUAAAGCGUAUCGCAGGUGGAUUUGUGCGUGGCGGGUGUAAGCCUUCGGCUCAACCGGGGAAUCGCUCGUCAUACGGCAAAUCUUAGAGUCUGUUGGAGGGAACUGGAAUUCUUUGUGGAGGGGUGAAAUCCGUAGAUACAAAGAGGAACGCCAAGGGUGAAGACAGGUUCCUAUGGCAGCACUGGCACUCAUGAACGACAGCUAGGGGAGCAAAAGGG